rnacentral:rRNA from 1 species
CACGUAGGGGGCGAGCGUUGUCCGGAUUCAUUGGGCGUAAAGAGCUCGUAGGCGGCUCAGUAAGUCGGGUGUGAAACCCUCAGGCUCAACCUGGGGACGCCACUCGAUACUGCUGUGGCUAGAGUCCAGUAGGGGAGUGUGGAAUUCCCGGUGUAGCGGUGAAAUGCGCAGAUAUCGGGAGGAACACCAGCGGCGAAGGCGGCACUCUGGGCUGGUACUGACGCUGAGGAGCGAAAGCGUGGGGAGCGAACAGG